rnacentral:rRNA from 1 species
GAUGAACGCUGGCGGCGUGCUUAACACAUGCAAGUCGAACGGUGAAGGCGGAGCUUGCUCUGCUGGAUCAGUGGCGAACGGGUGAGUAACACGUGAGCAAUCUGCCCCUGACUCUGGGAUAAGCGCUGGAAACGGCGUCUAAUAUUGGAUACGAGCUGCGAAGGCAUCUUCAGCAGCUGGAAAGAAUUUCGGUCAGGGAUGAGCUCGCGGCCUAUGAGCUUGUUGGUGAGGUAAUGGCUCACCAAGGCGUCGACGGGUAGCCGGCCUGAGAGGGUGACCGGCCACACUGGGACUGAGACACGGCCCAGACUCCUACGGGAGGCAGCAGUGGGGAGUAUUGCACAGUGGGCGAAAGCCUGAUGCAGCAACGCCGCGUGAGGGACGACGGCCUUCGGGUUGUAAACCUCUUUUAGCAGGGAAGAAGCGAAAGUGACGGUACCUGCAGAAAAAGCGCCGGCUAACUACGUG